rnacentral:tRNA from 1 species
GUAGAUGUAGCUUAAACACCACAAAGCAAGACACUGAAGAUGUCUAGACGGACCUCACAGUCCCAUCAACA